CCGCCAGACUCCUACGGGAGGCAGCAGUGGGGGAUAUUGCACAAUGGGGGAAACCCUGAUGCAGCGACGCCGCGUGGGCGAAGAAGUAUUUCGGUAUGUAAAGCCCUAUCAGCAGGGAAGAAGAAAUGACGGUACCUGAGUAAGAAGCACCGGCUAAAUACGUGCCAGCAGCCGCGGUAAUACGUAUGGUGCAAGCGUUAUCCGGAUUUACUGGGUGUAAAGGGAGCGCAGGCGGCACGGCAAGCCUGAUGUGAAAGCCCGGGGCCCAACCCCGGGACUGCCCUUGGAACUGCGUGGCUGGAGUGCAGGAGGGGCAGGCGGAAUUCCUGGUGUAGCGGUGAAAUGCGUAGAUAUCAGGAGGAACACCGGUGGCGAAGGCGGCCUGCUGGACUGCAACUGACGUUGAGGCCCGAAAGCGUGGGGAGCAAACAGGAUUAGAUACCCCCGUAA
rnacentral:rRNA from 1 species